rnacentral:rRNA from 1 species
UACGAAGGGGGCUAGCGUUGUUCGGAAUUACUGGGCGUAAAGGGCGCGUAGGCGGCCUUCUAAGUCGAACGUGAAAUCCCCGGGCUCAACCCGGGAACUGCGUCCGAGACUGAAAGGCUUGAAUCCGGGAGAGGGAUGUGGAAUUCCAGGUGUAGCGGUGAAAUGCGUAGAUAUCUGGAGGAACAUCGGUGGCGAAGGCGGCAUCCUGGACCGGUAUUGACGCUGAGGCGCGAAAGCCAGGGGAGCAAACGGG